GAUGAACGCUGGCGGCGUGCAUAACACAUUCAAGUCGAACGGUGAUGAGGACUUCGGUCCUCUGAUCAGUGGCGGAUGGGUGAGUAACGCGUGAGCAACCUGCCCUAUAUUGCGGGAUAACAACCGGAAACAGUUGCUAAUACCGCAUGACGUAUUCGGAUCGCAUGUUCUGAAUACCAAAGAAUUUUGAUAUAGGAUGGGCUCGCGUCCGAUUAGGCAGUUGGUGGGGUAACGGCCCACCAAACCGACGAUCGGUAGCCGAACUGAGAGGUUGAACGGCCACAUUGGAACUGAGAUACGGUCCAGACUCCUACGGGAGGCAGCAGUGGGGAAUAUUGGGCAAUGGGCGAAAGCCUGACCCAGCGACGCCGCGUGAGGGAAGAAGGUCUUCGGAUUGUAAACCUCUUUCAGCAGGGAAGAAGCAAGUGACGGUACUCUAAUAGAAAGCUACGGCUAACUACGUG
rnacentral:rRNA from 1 species